AUUGAACGCUGGCGGCAGGCUUAACACAUGCAAGUCGAGCGGAGAGAGGUAGCUUGCUACUGAUCUUAGCGGCGGACGGGUGAGUAAUGCUUAGGAAUCUGCCUAUUAGUGGGGGACAACAUUUCGAAAGGAAUGCUAAUACCGCAUACGUCCUACGGGAGAAAGCAGGGGAUCCUCGGACCUUGCGCUAAUAGAUGAGCCUAAGUCGGAUUAGCUAGUUGGUGGGGUAAAGGCCUACCAAGGCGACGAUCUGCAGCGGGUCUGAGAGGAUGAUCCGCCACACUGGGACGGAGACACGGCCCAGACGCCUACGGGAGGCAGCAGUGGGGAAUAUUGGACAAUGGGCGGAAGCCUGAUCUAGCCAUGCCGCGUGUGUGAAGAAGGCCUUAUGGUUGUAAAGCACUUUAAGCGAGGAGGAGGCUACUUUAGUUAAUACCUAGAGAUAGUGGACGUUACUCGCAGAAUAAGCACCGGCUAACUCUGUGCCAGCCGCCGCCGUAAAAC
rnacentral:rRNA from 1 species